UCUGGCUGGCGGGCGCUUUGUUUCGCCUUCGCUACAGUAGGCUCUUUCUGUUAGUCUCCGCUGCUACUUCUUGGCUCUGGGAGGCCCAGGUGGCUCUGCAGCAGCCUCUGCCACCCUGUGACCUGCGGGUAUUGGGACAUCCCUAGCUGACGCCAGGACACCCGGGAAGCCGAGGAGUGGACUCCGUGGCUUUUGAGGAUGUGGCUAUGAACUUUACCCAGGAGGAAUGGGCUUUGCUAGAUUCUUCUCAGAAGAAUCUCUGCAGAGAAGUGAUGCAGGAAACCUGCAGGAACCUGGCUUCCGUAGGAAACAAAUGGAAAGACCAGAAUAUUGAAGAUCACUUCGAAAAACCUGGGAAAGAUAUAAGAUAAUUUGCACUGAGAAGAGGAAAUAAAGUCCUCUGAAGGAAUCUUAGCAUGGAAGCAUUCAUACUGGAGAGAGACCCUGUGAAUGUAAACAAUGUGGCAAAGCCUUUAGUCAUUUGAGUUCCCUUUGUAACCAUAGAAGUACUCAUACUGGAGAGAAACCCUAUGAAUGUAAACAAUGUGACCAAGCCUUCAGUCGCCUCAGUUCCCUUCACCUCCACGAAAAAAUUCAUACUGGAGAAAAACCCUAUGAAUGUAAGAGAUGUGGUAAAGCCUACACUCGUUCCCGUCACCUUACUCCCCAUGAAGAAGUCAUGAUAUAGAGGCUGGGUGCAGUGACUCAGCCUAUAAUCCCAGCACUUUGGGAGGCCAAGGUGUGUGUAUUGCUUGAGCCCAGGAGUUCAUAACCAGCCUGGAUUAAAACAGUGUGAAACAACCUGGUCAACAUGGUGAAACCCUGUCUAUGCAAAAAAUAAAAUAAUGCCGGGCGCGGUGGCUCACGCCAGCUACUCAGGAGGCUGAGGCAGGAGAAUGGCGUGAACCCGGGAGGCAGAGCUUGCAGUGAGCCGAGAUCGCACCACUGCACUCCAGCCUGGGCGACAAAGUGAGACUCCGUCUCAAAAAAAAAAAAAAAGAAAAUAAUUAACUGGGCAUGGUGGCAUAUUUCAGUUGUCUUAAUUCUUUUUCAAGGACAUAAAAAGCCAUGGGGGGUUGGGGGGAAGCCCUGUGCAUGCGGAUCACGAGGUCAGGAGAUCGAGAACAUCCUGGCCAACAUGGUGAAACCUCGUCUCUACUAAAAAUACAAAAGUUA